UGUUUUGUUUCCUUUAGAAUUAAAAUGGCACCAUUGAGUGUAAUAAUUAAGGUGGGCCCACUUUGAUUUAAAAGUGGUCACAUUGAUGUCUUAUGUAAAUUUAAAAGGCACGUACCAGCAAGAAACAAAUACAAACACUUUUACAUUUCAGAUGGUUCUUUCUUCCACUUUGGGAAAUUUUACAUAAACUUUAAGUAAAUUCCUUGAGCAUGAACGUUUCCAGCAAUUUAACCUCGGGGGGAGGUUGUUUUGAAGAGGAAACGUGACUAGCGAUAUAAGGUAACGACGUGACAUUGGGAGAGAGCAAGUGAACGAUAACAUAGCUAAACGACAAAGGUAGACAGGGAGGUGAGCUUGGUCCAGACCCUUAGUAGCUGUCAGCUGAUUGAGAGCACUCCAUUGUCCGGAGGUGCUUAUGAUUCUUCUUUUGGUAUAUAUGCAUAUUUUGGGCACGACGGAGUCUUGUUCCGUCUAUAUGUUUAGUAUGUCAGUAGAGGCUCGUAGAUACGCAGUGUGGGUCAGAUGGUCUCACAAGAUGUUAUUAUUAUGUAUAUAUUAUUUUGAUGACCGAGAGACAAAUGUAUAUAAGUAUUUAUGUUUCUAUAUAAAAUAUGAUUUUCCUACAAUUCGUGUAUAAAAUUGGUAAAAGAGCACUAAAUGAGUAAGAUGAGUAUUAGAGCGAGUGGUGCUCGGUGGCUAGCCCCGGGUACCCGUCACGGUCCCUAGCUGGGUCGUGACAGGAACAACUACAAUGACUAUCAAAAUUGUUGCAAAAACUGCUAACGUUAUUGUUAUUAUUGCAAGAUUUCAAAGUGGAUAAUUAUUAUUACUCCCCCGUCCCAAUUUAAGUGUGUUACUUUCCUUUUUAGUAUGUCUCAAAAAGAGUGUAUCUUUUUAUAUUUAGUAAGUUGACAAUUCAAAUAUCUUACAUGAUAAAUUUAU